CACAGGAAGAUGGUGCCGUAUAGAGGAGAGAAAGCCAUCUGUCAAGGAUUUAUGACCGUCAACUUGUUUCCUAAUGCCACAUAUUUCUUGGUACAUGCUGCUCAGGGUCUGUGGGCUGAUAUCCUCAUAUAAUCCUGCAUGAAACGGCCAAGGAAAACCCCUCUGCUGUCCGUAAACGAUACCUCCUUUGGCGUCCAGACGAGUCUCUGUGCGAGUGUCAGG